rnacentral:rRNA from 1 species
CCAGACUCCUACGGGAGGCAGCAGUGGGGAAUAUUGGACAAUGGACCAAGAGUCUGAUCCAGCAAUUCUGUGUGCACGAUGAAGUUUUUCGGAAUGUAAAGUGCUUUCAGUUGGGAAGAAAAAAAUGACGGUACCAACAGAAGAAGUGACGGCUAAAUACGUGCCAGCAGCCGCGGUAAUACGUAUGUCACGAGCGUUAUCCGGAUUUAUUGGGCGUAAAGCGCGUCUAGGUGGUUAUAUAAGUCUGAUGUGAAAAUGCAGGGCUCAACUCUGUAUUGCGUUGGAAACUGUAUAACUAGAGUACUGGAGAGGUAAGCGGAACUACAAGUGUAGAGGUGAAAUUCGUAGAUAUUUGUAGGAAUGCCGAUGGGGAAGCCAGCUUACUGGACAGAUACUGACGCUGAAGCGCGAAAGCGUGGGUAGCAAACAGGAUUAGAUACCCUGGUAGUCCACGCCGUAAACGAUGAUUACUAGGUGUUGGGGGUCGAACCUCAGCGCCCAAGCAAACGCGAUAAGUAAUCCGCCUGGGGAGUACGUACGCAAGUAUGAAACUCAAAGGAAUUGACGGGGGCCCGCACAAG